rnacentral:rRNA from 1 species
AUUGAACGCUGGCGGCAGGCCUAACACAUGCAAGUCGAGCGAGCGGCGGACGGGUGAGUAAUGUAUGGGGACUGCCCGAUAGAGGGGGAUAACUACUGGAAACGGUGGCUAAUACCGCAUACUAUCGGAUAACCCAUAUGGGAUUAGCUAGUAGGUGGGGUAAAGUCUCACCUAGGCGACGAUCCCUAGCUGGUCUGAGAGGAUGAUCAGCCACACUGGGACUGAGACACGGUCCAGAAUCCUACGGAUGCAGCAGUGGGGAAUAUUGCACAAUGGGGGCAACCCUGACGCAGCCAUGCCGCGUGUGUGAAGAAGGCCUUCGGGUUGUAAAGUUCUUUCGGUAGGGAGGCGUUACCUACAGAAUAAGCACCGGCUAACUCCGUGCCAGCAGCCGCGGUAAUUC